CAUCAUGAAUUAUAUUUAUUCCCAAACGCUCCCUUAACUCUUUACUAUUUCCAAUAAAAAAAACGCUCCUUCACCUCACCUCAACCCACCCAAACCCCAAAUCCAAAUCCAAAUCCCGAUCCAAAUCCUUCAUCCUAGGGCAUCUCUGAACUGUAACAAUCCCAUGCCAACCAUUUGAAAGAUGCAAACUGAGGAUUUCUCGAUCGGAAUCUUCUAGGUCAAAAAUGGCAGGUUCCGGUAGUCCCAACGGUGGUUCUACACCGCCACCGCCGCCUCCAACUCAACAAGUUGGAUUCUCAAAACCCAUUUCCCUUGCUGGCCCUAGCGAUGCUGAUAUCCAACGGAACCUCGAAUUGGAGAAGUUCAUGCUUGAUUCUGGGCUUUACGAGAGUGAUGAAGAAGCUGCAGCCAGACGAGAAGUCCUUCGCCGCCUUGACCAGAUUGUGAAAAGUUGGGUGAAGCAGGUGACUCGUCAACGAGGCUACACCGAUCAGAUGGUUGAUGAUGCAAAUGCUGUCAUUUUCACUUUUGGCUCUUAUCGCCUUGGGGUUCAUGGACCAGGAGUUGACAUAGACACUUUGUGCAUUGGUCCUUCUUAUGUGAAUCGAGAGGAAGACUUCUUUUUUGGUUUACAUGACAUUUUGGCUGAAAUGGAAGAAAUUACUGAACUUCAACCAAUUAAUGAUGCACAUGUCCCAGUAAUGAAAUUCAAGUUCCAGGGAAUUUCUAUAGAUUUGCUGUAUGCAAGCAUAUCUCUUUUGGUUGUGCCAGAAGACGUGGAUAUCUCACAAGGUUCUGUGCUGCAUGAUGUUGAUGAACAAACUGUUCGAAGUCUUAAUGGCUGCCGGGUGGCAGAUCAGAUUCUGAAACUUGUUCCUAAUGUUGAGCACUUCCGUACUACGCUGAGAUGUUUAAAGUUUUGGGCUAAAAGGCGUGGUGUGUAUUCAAAUGUUACUGGAUUCCUUGGCGGUGUAAAUUGGGCUAUUUUAGUCGCUCGACUGUGCCAGUUUUACCCUAAUGCAAUUCCUAGUAUGUUGGUUUCUCGAUUCUUUCGGGUCUAUACACAGUGGCGGUGGCCAAACCCUGUAAUGCUAUGCUCUAUAGAAGAAAAUGAACUCGGUUUCUCUAUAUGGGAUCCUCGUAAAAACUCCCGGGACAGAUUGCACACUAUGCCAAUUAUUACUCCUGCAUACCCUUGCAUGAAUUCCAGCUACAAUGUCUCAGCAAGCACUCUUCGUGUUAUGAUGGAACAGUUCCGCCAUGGCAACAAGAUUUGUGAUGAAAUUGAGCUCAACAAAUCCCAGUGGAGUGCACUUUUUGAACCAUAUGUCUUUUUUGAGGCAUACAAAAACUAUUUACAAGUAGACAUACUUGCAUUAGAUGCUGAUGACUUACUAGCGUGGAAGGGUUGGGUAGAAUCUCGGUUGAGACUGCUAACCUUGAAGAUUGAGCGAGAUACCAAUGGGAUGCUGCAGUGUCAUCCUUAUCCACACGAGUAUGCAGACACAUCCAAGCCUUGCGCACAUUCUGCAUUUUUCAUGGGUUUGCAAAGAAAAGAGGGAGUAAAAGGUCAAGAGGGACAGCAAUUUGAUAUACGCGGAACAGUUGAUGAAUUCAGACAAGAAAUAAAUAUGUUGUAUACAUACUGGAAGCCUGGGAUGGAAAUUUAUGUUUCUCAUGUUCGUCGAAAGAAGCUCCCUGCAUUUGUUUUUCCAGAUGGUUACAAACGUUCUCGAAUACCAAGGAAUUUAAGCCAUACAGCUGAAAAAAUGGGCGAUGAUACUCCAAUGUGCAACUCUGGGUCUAGGUCUUCUGAAAGAUGCGUCAAGAGGAAAAGUAACCCUGAAAUGGUGGAUGUGAAGCCAGAUAAAUCAGAGAAGCGGGCAUCUGUUAGCCCACAAAAUGUUUCUCCGGCGAGUUGUUCUAGUAAAUCAGGUGGCACACCUCAAAUGAGUAUUGAGGAUAUCGAAGGAGUUAGGUUAGCUAGCUCAACAAUGAAAGAUGCUGACAGCAACUCUGGAAUUAAGUCAUCUUAUGGACUCCUAGGAAGUGGAACCAAUAUUGAAGUACGCAACGUGCAGAUUAGUGAAACAGGUUCUGUUGACUCCACACGGCUGAAACAAGUUCAGAAUGAGAAUGUAGUCAAUGGGGAUAAAGCUCGUGAUCUGGGUUUAGAUUGCUUGGAAAAUGCAGAAACUGCAGCUACCAAAAGCUUGUCAAACUGGAAAGACGGCACUGUUGGUAUGGAACAACAACUAGACAAAGGUUGUACUUUCACCAAAAGGGCCGAAUGUUCAGAUUUUGUACCGAGUGCCAGCACCCAGAGCCUCAAUUGUGAGGGUGGUGUUUGUUUGGCUGAUCCAGAUCAGUUCUGAAGAGUGGGUAUUUUCAUGGAAAUAGUAUUUCAAAAUAUCAUGGCUGAAGAGUUUAAGGUUUUGAAUUUCCUAAUCUCUUUCUGUUUUCUCCGUAAUAAAGAUGAUCUAAAUAAUACUAUUCUUUAAUAGCAGUUACUAAAGUUUUAUAUUUCAUGUGUUUUCUGAUGAAAUAAGUGAGUGUAAUCUUGUAUUUUUUUGGUGACUGAUUCCCUUUGUUUUCUAGCUUGUUAACACAUUAUAUAUCCUGUAUCCAGUCAGAAUAUGGUCUGUCCCUUUUCUGUUCCUAUCUUUUUGGUUCUUCUUGCUAUGACCGACUGUUUUUAUUAUACAUUGUAUAAAUUUGCCCAUUUGUUUCAAGACGAUUUGACUAUUAAUUUGCAUGGUAAUUGAAUUUCUUAGUCAACUUUCUGACCGCUGAAUAUGUGGUCGCAGGUCUUGCACCACUAUACGUGCUAUUUCCAGUUACUGUGCUUAAGAACCUGACUUGUUUUGUGUAGAGAGGCUCAGAGACCAGACCUUCUGUUUUUCUCCUAUACAUUUUCUUGUUUACUGGUUUUUUUGGGUUCCUAAUUAUUUGUAUUCUUUCUAUUUUUCAUAUUUUGUAUAGCCAGAUGUCAGACUCAGAAGUGUUGUAUAAAUUGAAGAUGGGGCUAGGAGGAUGAGUUUGGAGUGGUACGUGAAAAUGGGAGGUGAGUCUCUGAAGUUGCUGCUGCGCACACUUCUACUAUCUUUUGCUGGGUUGGGGCUGUUGCUGUGCUAAGAUCCUGUGGGCGUAGGCAUGAGGCUAAAUCUGAACAGUGAGGAGCUGAUGCAAAUGAUGGCUGCGUGAUGGUCCUUUGUGUACAUAGAUGAACGGAGGCAUGGAGAUGCUAAAAAUGUGGUCACGCCCAGUUUGUGUGAAACCAUGGGCUGAUUUCAUCUUCAGAGCUGUGAAUUGUCUCAUAAACUUUGACAUUUACACACCUUGGAUCUUCAAGGAGUGGGAACUUUGUGGUUUUGCUUUGUGAUGUGGAUGUAAAUGUAAUCAAAUUGCCAUUUCGACUAGGUGGUUUAGAAGACAAAAUGGCAAAACAAAAAUAUUUUUGGCGGCAGAUGAGUAGGUGGUAGUCAGUCAUUCACGUCUAUCCUUGCUUUACAAGUUUAGACAGCGGGGGGUACUACUGCCUAUGAGUUUCGUUGGUCUUUCUUGGCUUAAAACUUCUGUGAAAUAUUGUAUUUGUCACCAGUGUUCUCAUAUCGUUUUCUUCUA